rnacentral:rRNA from 1 species
AGCGAACGCUGGCGGCAGGCCUAACACAUGCAAGUCGAACGAAGUCUUCGGACUUAGUGGCGGACGGGUGAGUAACACGUGGGAACGUGCCUUUAGGUUCGGAAUAACUCAGGGAAACUUGUGCUAAUACCGAAUGGGCCCUUCGGGGGAAAGAUUUAUCGCCUUUAGAGCGGCCCGCGUCUGAUUAGCUAGUUGGUGAGGUAAAGGCUCACCAAGGCUACGAUCAGUAGCUGGUCUGAGAGGAUGACCAGCCACAUUGGGACUGAGACACGGCCCAAACUCCUACGGGAGGCAGCAGUGGGGAAUCUUGCGCAAUGGGCGAAAGCCUGACGCAGCCAUGCCGCGUGGAUGAUGAAGGGCUUAGGAUUGUAAAAUCCUUUCACCGGUGAAGAUAAUGACUGUAGCCGGAGAAGAAGCCCCGGCUAACUUCGUGCCAGCCGCCGCAGUAACAC